rnacentral:rRNA from 1 species
CAGCCGCCACGGUAAAACGAAGGGGGCUAGCGUUGCUCGGAAUGACUGGGCGUAAAGGGCGCGUAGGCGGCGGCCAAAGUCAGGCGUGAAAUUCCUGGGCUCAACCUGGGGGCUGCGCUUGAUACUUGGUUGCUUGAGUGGGGAAGAGGGUCGUGGAAUUCCCAGUGUAGAGGUGAAAUUCGUAGAUAUUGGGAAGAACACCGGUGGCGAGGGCGGCGACCUGGUCCUUGACUGACGCUGAGGCGCGAAAGCGUGGGGAGCAAACAGGAUUAGAUACCCCUGUAGUCCCUGUCUCUUAUAC